rnacentral:rRNA from 1 species
CUAACGCUGGCAGUGCGUCUUAAGCAUGCAAGUCAAACGGAAUGUAGCAAUACAUUUAGUGGCGAACGGGUGAGUAACGCGUGGAUGAUCUACCUAUGAGAUGGGGAUAACUACUAGAAAUAGUAGCUAAUACCGAAUAAGGUCAAUUAAUUUGUUAAUUGAUGAAAGGAAGCCUUUAAAGCUUCGCUUGUAGAUGAGUCUGCGUCUUAUUAGUUAGUUGGUGGGGUAAAUGCCUACCAAGACGAUGAUAAGUAACCGGCCUGAGAGGGUGAACGGUCACACUGGAACUGAGAUACGGUCCAGACUCCUACGGGAGGCAGCAGCUAAGAAUCUUCCGCAAUGGGCGAAAGCCUGACGGAGCGACACUGCGUGAAUGAAGAAGGUCGAAAGAUUGUAAAAUUCUUUUAUAAAUGAGGAAUAAGCUUUGUAGGAAAUGACAAAGCGAUGACGUUAAUUUAUGAAUAAGCCCCGGCUAAUUACGUGCCAGCAGCCGCGGUAAUACGUAAGGGGCGAGCGUUGUUCGGGAUUAUUGGGCGUAAAGGGUGAGUAGGCGGAUAUAUAAGUCUAUGCAUAAAAUACCACAGCUCAACUGUGGAGCUAUGUUGGAAACUAUAUGUCUAGAGUCUGAUAGAGGAAGUUAGAAUUCCUGGUGUAAGGGUGGAAUCUGUUGAUAUCAGGAAGAAUACCGGAGGCGAAGGCGAACUUCUGGGUCAAGACUGACGCU